GACAACAGAUCAACAGAAGAUAAGAGAAGAGAAGAGACUGCUGUAAACGAACGGGUUGGGGGAGGCUCCAAGAAGAAGAAGAAGAAGACGACAGUUAACAGUUUGUGUUGUAGAAGCAAACCUUUGAAGUGGAUGUCGGUGUUCGCACGCCUGAACACCCCGCUGAUCAGGUUGGCCACGCGCAGCGUUUCGCUUAUCACCUGCACAGACGGGACGGGAGCACAUCCGGCUCUCUGCUCAAGCUGUUCUUUUUUUUUUUCAGGAGGAGGAGAGAGAUGUCUACUACUGCAAAAGAAUGGAGAUGCUAGCUAGAUGGAAGGCGAUCUGAAGAAAACCGGGGAUGGACUCCAUCCAGACUGCUUACGCAUUGUGUAAACGGCA
rnacentral:lncRNA from 1 species